AACGUACGCUGGCGGCACGCCUAACACAUGCAAGUCGAACGAAGUAGCAAUACUUAGUGGCAGACGGGUGAGUAACAUGUAGGUAUCUGCCCUUUGGCCUGGAAUAACACGAGGAAACUUGUGCUAAUACCGGAUAAGUCUUUACGGAGAAAGCUUUAUGCACCAUUGGAUGAGCCUGCACUUGAUUAGUUUGUUGGUGGGGUAAUGGCCUACCAAGACUGUGAUCAAUAGCUGAUUUGAGAGGAUGAUCAGCCACAUUGGGACUGAGACACGGCCCAAACUCCUACGGGAGGCAGCAGUGGGGAAUCUUGCACAAUGGAGGAAACUCUGAUGCAGCGAUGCCGCGUGAGUGAAGAAGGCCCUUGGGUUGUAAAGCUCUUUCGUCGGGGAAGAAAAUGACUGUACCCGAAUAAGAAGGUCCGGCUAACUUCGUGCCGGCAGCCGCGGUAAUACGAAGGGACCUAGCGUAGUUCGGAAUUACUGGGCUUAAAGAGUUCGUAGGUGGUUGAAAAAGUUAGUGGUGAAAUCCCAGAGCUUAACUCUGGAACUGCCAUUAAAACUUUUCAGCUAGAGUAUGAUAGAGGAAAGCAGAAUUUCUAGUGUAGAGGUGAAAUUCGUAGAUAUUAGAAAGAAUACCAAUUGCGAAGGCAGCUUUCUGGAUCAUUACUGACACUGAGGAACGAAAGCAUGGGUAGCGAAGAGGAUUAGAUACCCUCGUAGUCCAUGCCGUAAACGAUGUGUGUUAGACGUUGGAAAUUUAUUUUCAGUGUCGCAGGGAAACCGAUAAACACACCGCCUGGGGAGUACGACCCGCAGGUUAAAAAUCAAAUGAAUUGACGGGGACCCGCACAAGUAGUGGAGCAUGUGGUUUAAUUUCGAAGAUACGCGCAGAACCCUACCAACACUUGACAUGUUCGUCGCGACUCUAAGAGAUUAGAGUUUUCGGUUCGGCCGGACGAAACACAGGUGCUGCAUGGCUGUCGUCAGCUCGUGUCGUGAGAUGUUGGGUUAAGUCCCGCAACGAGCGCAACCCUCACUUUUAGUUGCCAUCAUUAAGUUGGGCACUCUGAAAGAACUGCCAGUGAUAAGCUGGAGGAAGGUGGGGAUGACGUCAAGUCCUCAUGGCCCUUACGUGUUGGGCUACACACGUGCUACAAUGGUAUCUACAACAGGAAGCAAGACUGCGAAGUUAAGCAAAUCCCUAAAAGAUACCUCAGUUCGGAUUGCACUCUGCAACUCGAGUGCAUGAAGCUGGAAUUACUAGUAAUCGUGGAUCAGCGUGCCACGGUGAAUGCGUUCCCGGGUCU
rnacentral:rRNA from 1 species